rnacentral:misc_RNA from 1 species
UACGGAGGGUGCAAGCGUUAAUCGGAAUUACUGGGCGUAAGGCGCGCGUAGGCGGCUUGAUAAGCCGGUUGUGAAAGCCCCGGGCUCAACCUGGGAACGGCAUCCGGAACUGUUUAGCUAGAGUGCAGGAGAGGAAGGUAGAAUUCCCGGUGUAGCGGUGAAAUGCGUAGAGAUCGGGAGGAAUACCAGUGGCGAAGGCGGCCUUCUGGACUGACACUGACGCUGAGGUGCGAAGGCCGGGGGAGCAAACAGG